rnacentral:tRNA from 1 species
GGGGAUAUAGCUCAGUGGUAGAGCAUUCGACUGCAGAUCGAGAGGUCCCUGGUUCGAACCCGGCUGUUCCCU